GGAAUAUUGGACAAUGGGCGGAAGCCUGAUCCAGCCAUGCCGCGUGCAGGAAGACAGCCCUACGGGUUGUAAACUGCUUUUAUACGGGAAGACUAAGGGGUACGUGUACCCCGAUGACGGUACCGUAAGAAUAAGGACCGGCUAACCCCGUUCCAGCAGCCGCGGUAAUACGGAGGGUCCAAGCGUUAUCCGGAAUCAUUGGUUUUAAAGGGUCCGCAGGCGGGCAAGUAAGUCAGGGGUGAAAUGGUGCGGCUCAACCGUAGCACUGCCUUUGAUACUGGUUGUCUUGAGUUAUGGUGAAGUGGCCGGAAUAUGUAGUGUAGCGGUGAAAUGCAUAGAUAUUACAUAGAACGCCGAUUGCGAAGGCAGGUCACUAACCAUGGACUGACGCUGAUGGACGAAAGCGUGGGGAGCGA
rnacentral:rRNA from 1 species